UCAUGAACAACGCAAAUUAAACAUUCGUUUUCCCGUAAAUUUCUGGUGCGAGGUUUUGCUUCUGCCAAACCCAGGACCAUUGGACUCGGAGAAAGAAAUGGAGAGGAAGAAACAGCGAACAAUCUUGGGUGCGGUGCCCCUAUGCCUCCGGGCAAGUGCGGGGGAGCGCAAUGAUUGAACGUACAU
rnacentral:sRNA from 1 species